rnacentral:rRNA from 1 species
UACGUAGGGGGCGAGCGUUGUCCGAAUUCACUGGGCGUAAAGCGCGCGUAGGCGGGUUAUUAAGUUGGAGGUGAAAUCCCGGGGCUCAACCCCGGAACUGCCCCCAAAACUGGUAGCCUUGAGGUAUGGAGAGGGAAGUGGAAUUCCAGGUGUAGCGGUGAAAUGCGUAGAUAUCUGGAGGAACACCCGUGGCGAAGGCGGCUUCCUGGUCAUAUCCUGACGCUGAGGUGCGAAAGCUAGGGGAGCGAACGGG